rnacentral:rRNA from 1 species
UACGAAGGGGGCUAGCGUUGCUCGGAAUCACUGGGCGUAAAGCGCACGUAGGCGGAUUGUUAAGUCAGGGGUGAAAUCCUGGAGCUCAACUCCAGAACUGCCUUUGAUACUGAAGAUCUUGAGUUCGGGAGAGGUGAGUGGAACUGCGAGUGUAGAGGUGAAAUUCGUAGAUAUUCGCAAGAACACCAGUGGCGAAGGCGGCUCACUGGCCCGAUACUGACGCUGAGGCACGAAAGCGUGGGGAGCAACAGG